CAGUAGCCGCGGUAAUACAUAGGGUGCAAGCGUUAAUCGGAAUUACUGGGCGUAAAGCGUGCGCAGGCGGUUUUGUAAGACAGAGGUGAAAUCCCCGGGCUCAACCUGGGAACUGCCUUUGUGACUGCAAGGCUAGAGUACGGCAGAGGGGGAUGGAAUUCCGCGUGUAGCAGUGAAAUGCGUAGAUAUGCGGAGGAACACCGAUGGCGAAGGCAAUCCCCUGGGCCUGUACUGACGCUCAUGCACGAAAGCGUGGGGAGCAAACAGGAUUAGAUACCCCUGUAGUCCCUGUCUCUUAUAC
rnacentral:rRNA from 1 species